rnacentral:lncRNA from 1 species
UCGGGCUCAAGCCGACCUGACCCUAAUACACACACAUGCACACGCACAUUCUCUCAUUGUCUCACCCGCACACAUCACAGUUCAGCACACAUAUCACAAUCUCACACAGCCACACAUCAAAUACCCAUAUUCACACACCAGUCAAACACUCACACAUGAUUCACCAACACAUCACAGUUCACAUAUCACAAGGUUCACAAAACCAAAUCACAAGUCACAAACCCUAAGUCAGCCGACAACCAACAAGCCCAACACCAUCAACGUCAACCAGACGGCGUGAAUCUGCC